CGCGUGCUCGGGCGAGCACAUGGGCCCGAGCGGCUCCUGCCCCGCUCCGCACCCCUUCCCGCACCGGGUGGGCACGCAUCCCUGGGAGAGAGACUGUGCCAGACGGACGGCAUGGGGACAGCGAGAGCAGUGCCAGCUCUCUGCCUCGGCUAAGCCUGAUUUUUCAUCCUUUGCAUCUGUACACUGAUGUCCACGCAACGUCAGAGGAAUUCUACAAUAGUGAAAAUAAGGAUGGGCUUAGGCUUGCCACUGUUGAAAGGCCCAUCUGUUGCGGAAGUGGAUUUUGUGUCUGAAUUAGUUCUUAAAAUGGAAUAUUGGCUCCCUGGCUGAAUGUGCAUGCUUGGAAUAUGACUUCAGUGGGAGCUUACAGCUUUUGGAGAUGAUGGGUGCUCCCUGUAUUGCUUCUGGUAGCAGAAAUACUGCUUAAAGCUUUGUGCCAAAUACCAUAGGAGCUUUCUGCAGGGGAAUGAAACUCUGCUCUCUGAGGGUUCAGUUUCACAUGGACGGGGCCACCCCAGGAGAUGAGGAUCACCACAAACCUCAUCAAAUUCUGGUCCAAGUGCGAGGUCCCAGUCCUAUGCUUCCCAGUGGUCUGGAGUAAUGUUUGGAGGAGCCUGGCAGUGUGAUUCUUUUGGAAGCUCCAAGGAUUGUUAGGAUCAUGGAAUGUAUGGACUCUCAAAACCCUCUGGAGAACGUUGGCUGCAGAUAAAAGCACCUGGAAAUUCCUGCCAUGUUUUUACACUAUUUUUUCCUGGGUGGCCCCAUGUCAUUUGGGAAGGAAGCCUCUCUGGCCUGAGGAUUAUAGCAAACUGAUCACUUACUGGAAUACCUCCUCUUGUGUUUUCUCAAGAUACAACCAUUGCUUUACCCAACAGAAGGAUAAUUUUUUCUUCCCCCAGAACUUUUCCAGUCCAACAGAACUCAUGUCCAGCAGGUCUCUGUUGACUGCAAGGGAGAGAGGAGGAGCAUGUGGAAGGGAGGUCAUAUCCUGCCAGGGUUUCCUGGGGAAUGAGGUGCAUCCAUGGUUUGGAUGAUGAAGCUUGAUGAGCUGCAACUUGGCUUGGAUUACAAUAUUUCAAAAGACUUGCUGAAUUUUUGCUGAAUUCUCCAGGCAACAUGCCCUCAACUUUGAGAACAGGGAGGCUAAAGUUGAUACCCCCAAUAACACAAGGAAAAAGAAAGGGGCUGGCUGCUUUGUACAAGUAACUAAAAGCACUGCUUUGUUGCUGUUGAGAGCACUCAAAAGGAGAAAAAUCUAGAGUAUAGCUUUUGUUUUAGAGACGUGGGUUUUGCCCAGGAGAAAGGCACACAUGGGAAAAUACAGAAAGAAGGAGGAGAGGUGAUGCUACAAGCCUGUUUCCUGACCUCUAGAACAGGACUGAAGCUUCACAACAAGAUUUAUCUGGAAAGUAUGACCAGCAGGAGCAGCUUACUCACCAUUAGAUAAGUAUUGUGAAUGACUCAUGCUAGAGUAUCGGUAACUGUGCAGCUGAAAUGAAUAUGUUGUUUUAUAACAGCUGUAGCACAAUGCCAAGAGCCAGGAACCUUAAUUCCACCAUUCAUGCUUUUCCACAAAUGUGCUUUGGGUCUCUGGCAUAUUUUUCCCCUUGGUUUGUCCAUUUAAAGGGUUCACAGAAGAGUUUUUGCUUCUCGUGGUGUGGUGCUGGGCGUGGGGCAGCUCAUGUCAUUUCAAGCUGCACUUCAAGAUGUCACCUUAAAAUGAAUGCUAGUGUUGAAAGGCUGUAGCUUUGUAGCUGUUCUCCAAGAAAACAUGCAGGUUUUGUCUUUUAGUAGAUGCUGCUAGAGGCUUUCCUCGAUUCUUUGUGCGUGUUGUUUUUGUUUUCUUUCCAGAGCCAUUAUGCUUCUUCUCCAGCAAGACAACCCCGAUGGUGCAGGAACAGGGACUUGCACUGUGCUUCAUUUCAGAAGGAUCCAGUGAAUUAACAUACUGUUGCUGCUGCCCAGAUUUUCUAACUAUGGAAGCUCUCCUGAGGAGCUGCAUCGUGCACUGCUUCCCCCAGGAUGGAACGUAGAGCUGGGAGUGAGGAGGAACUGCAGUGUACUGCUAUGAGUUUCUUUAGCAAGGAGAGAGACUUUAUGGUAUGUCAUAUGGUGCCGAAAGCCAUUCUACCCUUGACAGCAAAUAUCCUUAUCCUUCUUGUGUUUUUUUUUCCAAGACAGCAGAGAUGCUUUGUAUGCAAAUCGAGGUGGUACAACAGAAAAAAAGUCCUGAAAGCAAUCUCACGGAUACCACCAGACCAUUGGGGAAUUCCUGCUUAUUUUUUAUCUUUUCUUUUCUCAAUUCUGUUUUUUCUCACAGUCUUUAAUGUUGGUCCUGCCAGACCUCUUGCAUAUGAAUUACAGUUUUUCUUCCAUUUUGCAGGGUUCCAUGUCAAUCUAGAUGAAUAAGAGGCUGUAAGUGUUGGGAACUGGUGUUAACAGUCCCUGUGUUUCGUCUUUGCCGUCAAUUGUUCUGGUGCUUUCUGAUUUUUGAGAAGGACACAAACCUUGUAGUACGGAUUGCCCUGUGCUUGUAGUGAUUGUUUACCUGUGAAGGUGAGCCCAGAAACCUUCAGAAAGCUCAGGGAAGGAAAGGGAAGAGGUGGGAAACAAGAAGAAAGUAGGAAGAGUUUGCCUAGUAAUUUAAACAGGAGCAGAAUUUGACCCUCCUGAGGCACCUCAAGAGAUGUCAUGCUCAACACUGCACUAAUGCAGCAGCAUGAGUCGGUCACCUCCUCGCUCCAGCAAAGCAAACUCCUGUCUGCCCAGCCUGUACCCUGGAGGUACCACUAGAAAUGCAAGGGGCUAAUCAGAGCUGGGCUCCCACUCUGCUGCCAGCAACAACAGCACACUGAUGCUACAGGUUGUUGGGUUAUAAAAAAGACUUGUAGAAGCAGUGCAAGAAAAGGACAUGUCAGAGCAAGAAAGAACUGCAAAACUGCAGAGAAUAUUCCCAUGUGUGUCCAGAGAUACUCACUGCAGCCUGGGUCUUGUUGAAUCACGCUGUGGUUUCACUGGCCUUUGUGUGGGUAGUGGUGAUAAUCACUGUGUGUGGUGUUGGGUUUUAUUAUUCAUUUUUUCUUAAACGUAAAAUUAACAGUCAAAUUUGUGUUGGUAGGGCAGCAAGCCUGGUGUGGCUUUUAUCUACUCUGAACCUGAGGAUAAAGGAGGAGAAGAAAAAUUACUUGACCAGUUCAUCAGCCUUGCGCUUAACAGUCCUGGAGUUCAAAGCAAAGGAUGCAACAGUCAGAUACCCAGACCUUCCUGGGCUUCUACUGAUAAGUUGUAUUUCAAAGCAAAAGGCAACCUUGAAGGGGCUCUGUUGAGUAGCUGAAGCCUCCAAUGCCGAGUCUUCUAUAAAAGAGGAUUUCAUAAGGAGUAAUACGAACAGAAAUGGCUCUUCUGUGGUUUUACACAUUCCAGGCAUGCCAGGACUGUUCCUGUCAAGGAUGGGCAGUCCCUGGGGUUUGGAGUUUUUAUGGUUUUUUGUUUUGUGAUUUUUCUCCAAAAUAUUUGCCACAAACUAGCAGCUGAAAUUGUGAAAAAUAAAUGAGAGUUGCAAAAUCAUUACAGUAGCAGUCAUGGAAACUGUGAGGCUUAUACUUAAACUGGCUGUGGGGUUUCACCCUGUCUACGCUACUGUGCUGUCGGGAUCACUGCUUUUGCCUGCUAUGACUGCUUCAAGAUGGGUGAUUUAAAAGGAGAGCUUCAACUAUUGAUUUACUCGGAACCUCAAACAACAGUGCUUUAGGCUUUUUUCAGAAGCUAUGCAUUUUCAGCUGAACGGCUAUUGGGUAUGAAUCUCUUUAAUAUCAGUGCAGUUAUGUGAACAUACAGCACCUUUGUGUGUAUUCCUGCUUCAAGUGCACUUAUUUUGACUUCAACCAGGUUGUGCCAGGUUGGUUUGCACCUGUAUGCUUUGACACAAACAGGUUUUUAAUUAAUUUAAGACCUUCCAUGCAGAAAAUGAUGUUGCCUUAAAUGUUAAAGAAGAGCACUUUAACUGGGCCUUAAAACAAUGUGAAGUUUCAACAUGCAGUAAAGCAUGACAUAGUUUUUGCAGACCUGAGCUGAUAGAUGGGUGUUUAAUUAAUAAGCCUACAUACAUAUCUUGUUCUUCUAGGUGUGUGUGCUGUGCUGCUCCUGUUGCUGUAUUCCUGCAUGCCGUGUAGAUAGCAAGAGCUCAUGGAUGGCUGAGAAAGCCAUGGCCAGAGGUGUUGCUGCCAUCAUCUCACUAGCUUGAUUCGCUUGAUUCCCACAAGGAGUAUGGCUCUAAAAGCGUAUAAUUAGAUGUGAAACUUUUGCCUUCUUGAGGCACCCUGCGCAAACACUCAGCGCCUUUAAUCGGCAUCACUGUACUGACUGCAGCUGGCUUAAGACCUCUACAAGCUGGAACUGCACCUUUACCUGCUCUGGAGGCUUGUCCCACCACACGAGAGGAGAAAAUUGAGCCAGGCUCAUCCUGGCAGAGGCUGAGCCAUGGAGCCCUAGAUAUCCAACCUUAGAAUUUAGUUCUCAGCCUGGGUUUAGCCUUGGCAGGAGUGCAGUCAGAAGGUGAGAUACAGAAGGUGAAAAUUGUGUCUUUGAAAAUGAUGGCAAAAGAGACCCUUUUGGAAUGAACCUUCUGGCUUGGUGCUGUUAAAUGUGAAUAUGAUUAUUUAGUGAUGAACAGGAGUGAGAGUGGAUUUAGGACGGAGUGCCUGACGUCCCUUCUCACCCUCUAACACAGGCUUAUGUUACAGAGAAAUCUCAAGUCUGUCCCUUGGGCUGUUGUAGGUCUGUGGGUGGAGGAACUUUAAUCACUGUGGUCACCAUCGAAUGCUGCACUUGCAAGAUACAAGGAAGGAAAAACUGGUGUUAAUUUGUUGCUCACCUGAAAGGAGUUUGGACUUGUAGCAUUCUGGGUUGUUUGCCAUUUUGGGCUUGUUUCCAUAAAAAAAAAAAAUAAAUGUUUUCUUUACCCUAUCAGUGCUUCCAGCCACAGAAAUUUGGAAACAAAAAGUUGGAAGGUGUGGUCCGCACUGAAUGGUGUUUUUACUGGGCCUGUCUCACAGGGGAUGGUAUUGAAGUCGAUUUUGCCCUGGCCACUCAGGGUCUCUGAUGAGGAAAUAUUUAUUGCUGUGAAACUGUGGCAAGCUUUACAAGUGGCAGAAAACCUACUUUUGUAACUAAAUAAUUGUGUUUUCCUUACAGGUCGCACAGAUAGACGUACGUUUGGAAAAUUUUUAUUUCCAACCAAAGUAACUUUUCCACUGCGUCAUCUAGAGUGGGAAAACAAGUAGACGUUGAGUGGCAUUUUAAUGUAGAUUUCAUCCAUUUGACUGCAACAGAAGGUUACUUUGAGAUGCUCUGUUAUCCUUAUCUUGGUGUGUCCUUGCUUUAUGUUUUCUGCUUCAGAAUCUCCAUUUUCCCUGUUUUUGAUGGUUUGAGAGUUUUGGUAGAGAGGGCAAAAACACAUAAAAAUUUUCAUGUCCUUGGGAAGGCUAUGGCAAGUUAUACAGUGGUGAAGAGAUGCUGACAACCUGUAGAAGAGCCAGUUUUUGGCAGCAUGGGAAGUGGUUAGCACCUCAUUUGAUGUCCUCACAUCAAAGCUGGACAGUAGGCUGGUCAUGAUGCUCUGUUUGAACCACAAAUUACUGGGCUUCGGGCAGAAGUCACUGGAUGAAAUUCUGUGGUCUUUAUUAGGCAGAAGGUCAGACAAAAUAAUUUAGCUGGCUUCUCUCGGCUUUUAGAAUUUGUGAAUCACAUAGUUAGGGGUUUUUUUUGAGUUUCCAUGAAAACUUUACUUUGGUAGCAGGCAGACAACAAACCCCAUCUGUUCUCUUAUCCUUUUUUCGUAGUGUGUUAAUUUCAGAUUGUCCUAGAAGGAGGAUAAAAUUGGGCUUGUUAUUUAAAUUUUGCUAAGGGUGGCAAAAGCAACUCUACUUUGAUUAUUGUGGGCCUCCCAUGACCACAGGAAUGGAUGAUGCCUAAUGCCAGCCCUGCUUUAACAAACAUCUGAAGAUCAGCUCAUCACCGCAGCGUAGCCAUCAACUGUCUUCUCUCUGUUCCCCAUGGGAAUUGUGCACCAUGGGAUUCUGCAGUGAGGUAAAGAUGGGAGCUAAGCUCAUUAGGCAACAUAAGUGCUUUUGUGAGUGGCCAGAUACUCCAUCUGCAAGCCUCUGAACCUGGGGCUGCAGGAACCAGCAGGAAAGUAAGAGACACCUUAGUUGUCUUGGUGUGUAAGAGUCCCUGAACACUCGUCCUACAGAGCCCCUUAUUACAACGGGAGAAUUUGGGAAAGCCCAGAGUGAUGCCAUAAUUGGAGAAAAGAAGAGGAACGUCAUGUGGGAGAAACGUGAUGAAAAUAAGAAUAAUUUGAAACCAUGUCCUUUACUUCCCCAGUGUGUAACUGGGCUGGAAACGCAGGCACGAGCAGAGCACUUGCUCACUGCAGCCCUUUCCCUCUGAAGUUUUUAGCAUUUCAAUGGACAUCCCUGGUUGUAAGCCUCAGGUUUGCUGCCUUUGUGUCAGCUUGGACCCACUUUCCUUUGUAAGAAAGAGCUCCCACACCCUUCCUUGUCCUACAGCAGACCUCUAUCCAGACUCUCCAGUUUUCCAUGUUGAGGGCCUGCAAGCAGCUGGUUAUUGACAAGGGUCCAUGUUGGCUCCUAGUCUUCAUUCAGAAAGGUGCUAGUUGUUACGGCUAAGAGGGUGUGAAGGAGCAGUGCAGCAGAAGAGAUUGAAUACCUGUGUCAAGGAAUAUCCCCUUGCACUGUGUAAGCAUGUAAUCAGCCCUUGUAGGAUGUAUCUGAUUAAAUAGCACCAAUGCAAAAAAAAAAAACAACCCCUCAUUUAUGGCAGUCAAAUGUAUUGCAGUGUAGUUGGGAACGAAGAAUUCAGGUUCUGUUUAAACCCAAAGUGAGACUGCAUGGGUAUCACAUUGUCAUGGAGGGAGUUUAAGGGAUGGGUCAUUGUGUGUAAUCUUGUGAAGGUGAGCUCUCGAGGGAGCAGCGGGACAGAAAGGAUGUCUGCAACUCUAGAGAGCAAAUAGAAACAGGAGGUGACUUUGUCCCUUUACAGAGCAACACACUGGCUGAUGUCUGCGCUUGAAGAAGGAUGGGGAAAUGCCAGAAAGAAUUCAAAGGAAAGUCGUGAAUGGCUUGGAAUUACCAAAGCAGAACUCUCGGCUUAGGCAGCUCCAUUUAGUUGGGAUUUGUGGCGUAAAUUUUUUUAAUCCUCAAAUAUAAUUAUCAGUUUUGAAUAAAUCAAAUGUUUUUCAUGGGACUG